rnacentral:rRNA from 1 species
UCGGGAAUAUUGGACAAUGGGCGAAAGCCUGAUCCAGCCAUGCCGCGUGAGUGACGAAGGCCUUAGGGUUGUAAAACUCUUUCGUCGGGGACGAUAAUGACGGUACCCGAAGAAGAAGCUCCGGCUAACUUCGUGCCAGCAGCCGCGGUAAUACGAAGGGAGCUAGCGUUGUUCGGAAUCACUGGGCGUAAAGCGCACGUAGGCGGAUAGUUAAGUCAGGGGUGAAAUCCCGGGGCUCAACCUCGGAACUGCCUUUGAUACUGAGAGUCUCGAGACCGGAAGAGGUGAGUGGAAUUCCUAGUGUAGAGGUGAAAUUCGUAGAUAUUAGGAAGAACACCAGUGGCGAAGGCGGCUCACUGGUCCGGUUCUGACGCUGAGGUGCGAAAGCGUGGGGAGCAAACAGGAUUAGAUACCCCUGUAGUCCCUGAGCGGGCUGGCAAGGCGCAU